CCUGCUGAUUGGCGGAACGGUGAUUACGUCACUCAUGUAUCUGCCAAUGGGGACGUCAGCGCGCGGUGGCUCGCUCUCGGAAACCAUGGGCUCGGCGCGUGUCAUUGGGCCGCUUGUCAUUGGCCUUGGAGCUGUGUUUCUGGGCGCGAGUGUCAUCAGCCACCAAAUUCUGUUAUCGCGCGACCGACGCCGGCGGCGGCAGCGGCGCAAGCAGAAGCUAAGCGGCGAUGCGACGUGCCCGCCAUCUGUCCGUCGCGCCCGGAAGCUCCCCUCGACUCUCCGGGAAAUCGCAGCGGGGCCUCGGCCGCCGACGCCAAGCGGUUCCCCAUCCGUCCACCAGGUGUCAGCCCGGUCGCCCGCCGGGGCCGGAGCGGAGCAGUGGCCCGGUAGGGAGGCCGCUACCGCAGCUUCCUCCGUGUAGUUGGCUGAGACGGCGCGGUGCUCCCGGUCCUGAUGCGGACUUGGGCGGGUUCUGUUGCGGCGGUGGCAGUGGUGAUUGGUGCUACGCGCAACGUGGGAUGCAGACGAUCACCAAUAGUUAUCGCCUGGUGUUCGUGUUUGGCUUCCCGUGACGCAGCGCUGUCGCUUAUUGGUCCGUGUUUCUGAUCACCGAGGAGAAGUUCUGCGUUUUCUCGAUAUGGCUGUCUGACUGGUUUGGGUAUCGCGCAACAAGUGUGGAUAGAGGAAACCGUUUGUACUUGAAUACAUGUACGUCUUUCAA